AAGUCGUAACAAGGUCUCCGUUGGUGAACCAGCGGAGGGAUCAUUACCGAGUUUUCAACUCCCAAACCCCAUGUGAACUUAUACCAUUUACAACCGUUGCUUCGGCGGGUUCUCGCCCCGGGCUUUACACCCCGGAACCAGGCGGCCCGCCGGGGGACCCAAACUCUAGAUUUAUAUUUUAGCAUGUCUGAGUGGAAUCAUUACAAAAUGAAUCAAAACUUUCAACAACGGAUCUCUUGGUUCUG
rnacentral:misc_RNA from 1 species